ensembl:lncRNA
GAGUGGGAUUGGGUUAAGUAUGCCCUGCCCAGUCUGUUUUCUCGCUGUCGUUAUUAGACAGAGACCCUAGAAAUGUAUGCAAUGCUUGAAAAAUUCAUCCCUUUUUCUCAGGAGAUAUUAUAAAUGUACUAUUAUGAGCUCUGCAACAAAAUGCAAGUGAAUGUGAUGGGAGUAUUUAUGAAAUCAUGUUUUACUCUUUUGUUUUAUGCCAUGUUGAUGGACGAUGAUCUCGGCUGGUUGUCGCGUUGCUGACAGCCGCCCGGUCAGGGGCCACUUUAGUGCUUCCUGCUUACGAUGCUUAGAACUAUAGGGCUAGAAGCAUCUCGAUGAAACGGCGUCAUUGGGCUCGCUUGUAAUGGUGACGUUUAUAUGAAUAGUCAUUAUGGACUGCAGUCUGGUCUCAGUUAAUUUCAGUAAACAAACUAAUGUUCACCCUGAUAGCAGCCAGAUAUAGGAAACACUGUGAGGAGAUGUCAUGAAAGUGAAUUGGGACACGUUGGUUUGAGCAGCACUCUUAAUUCCUUCUGAAGCAGAAGGGGAUCAGUGGAUCGGCCCAGAUUUCAGUAUUCACCAACAACAAGUGCUCCGAGCAUCUCAUUUGCCAUGUUUUUCUCCCUAUUGCUCUACUGCAUAACAAAUACCAAAUAAUCAGGCAGAGCACUGGAUGCAUCUUUACGGUGCUGUGAGCCUAGGCACCACACCAGAGCUUAUGCACUUCCUGUCGUCCAGUGAUGUCACUACCCGUUUAUAAGCCGCUCCCAACCCCUCCUCAUCCGUUUUCAAGUUCCAUGGUCCAGUUGCUGCAUGAAAUCUCCAAAAUCAGUGUGGGUGUUACCUUGAACCAAAUAAAAAACGCUGAAUGACAAACGUAAAAGCUACUGCCGUCCAUUUUCUCCGAGACCUCCACGAAUACGAGAUUGACAGGAAGAAAGAGGGAAAAUAAAAAAUCAAUACACAUACAUCCAUUUGGGGAAAAAAGAAAUAAAAUUCAGGCUUCGUUCUAUAGGGCACAAACUGCAAAAGCUAAGACUGGACUUUUUAAGAGGCUAUAAAUAAUGUAUUAUAUUAUUUUAACAGCAUGUGUAGUUUUUUUGUAAAUACAGGAUUACUUAAAAAAAGAAAAACUACAGCUAUUAAUCUAACACUAAAUAUUAAUAACCAUAAAUAGAAUGGCUUCCAGCUGACACCCCUUGUCACACUUGUUAGGCUGUGACGCAUUUGUUAGAUGGAAUAGGUUUUUUCUUUCUUUCGUUCUUUUUUGAUUCACAUUUCACAAAAAAGAGGGAAGUAAGCUAAUCUAUAUUUAAAAAAAACUGAUUGUAAUAAAAACUGUAUAAAUUCAUAUGUGCAUAUACAGAGCUAUAUUACAUAUAUAUUAUAUAUAUAUUCUACCAUUAUAUAUAUAUAUAGUAUAUAUACAUUAGAACAGUGUCUGUAACUCAACUCUCCUGUCCACUCCUUGCAUUGAGGUGAAACCAGAGCCCCAGAGUGUAACUGAUCAUGCUUCUUUCUUUGUGUGGUAUGUUCAGAGAAAUAACCAAAACUCUGGCCUGCCCAGGACUUGUGCAUACUGGGUACCAGCGUACAAUGCAUGGUGUUGUACUGGCUGCUUGCUGAGAAAUGUGGAGCCUGCCUUGGUUAGAGGAUUGCACUACCAGCAUACCCUUUUGUAUAUGUGUGACGAUGUCUUGCCCCUACUUUCCUAUAUUGUAGACACAAGGUUAAACGGAUUCACACACACGCACACUAACACCCUCGCACAUGCGCACACAAACACGCACACUCACACACACACACACACACACACUCACAGCCUUUUUGCAGGCGACUGCUGGUUAACCCGUGUGCCCCGACUACGAGCCACAGCUCACUCUGUGUGACGAUUUCUUUUGCUUGUUGCAGCUCUAACCCUCCAUGUUUCCCGUUAACACACUGCUGUAGUUUUGGAGCUCACCUUUAAUUUCGCUGUCACUUUCAAUAUGAUAUAAUAAUAAUGAUUUUAAGGGUUAGUUGUCUUAACUGUCUGUGUGUUUGUUUAUGGUGCAAUAUCUCUUAACGGCACGUGCCUUUUUAGCUUUCUAUUUAGUCUGUCGAUAAAUCAGCAAUGAGAAUCUCAACACCCAUCGAAGUGAAUCAAAACGGAGCACGAUAGACGCAAUGUAUUGAGUUCGUAAAUAACCUGAACUGAAAAACUCACCACCUAGAUUAGACUGUCUGGACUAACAUCUUGUAGAGUCAUGUAGUAGAAGUGCUCUCUGUGUGUUCUGUUUACUGGCUCUCGGGCUAGCAAAAGAACAGCUUGCCUUUUGUUUUACACUACAGCUCAUUUCCUAAUGUUGGUUUACCAAAUGGUAUAUGAGGCCAUUCUUUUGUAGCAUGACUGAGAUACAUUUCUUUUCUUUGAAACUACUUUAACUGAAAAAACCCUUUUGACUGUCAUUGUCUCUUGCCACUAAUACAGUCAGAAAGAUAACACGUGUCGCACAACCACAUUGGAAGUUAAAUGAGAAUCAGUGAAAGAAUGUCUUCAUUUGAGCACGAAUCUAUUUCCAAACAAUAAAGCAGCCUUC